AACGAACGCUGGCGGCAGGCUUAACACAUGCAAGUCGAACGGAUCCUCCGGGAUUAGUUGCAGACGGGGGAGUCGCGCGUGGGACCGUACCCUUUGCUACGGAAUAACUCAGGGAAACUUGGGCUAAUACCGGGUGUGCCCUACGGGGGCAAGAUUCGUCGGGAAAGGAUAGGCACGAGUUGGAUUAGCUUGUUGGGGGGGUAAUGGCCUACCAAGGCGACGAUCCAUAGCUGGUCUGAGAGGCUGAUCAGCCACACUGGGGCUGAGACACGGCCCAGACUCCUGCGGGAGGGAGGAGUGGGGAAUAUUGGACAAUGGGCGCAAGGCUGAUCCAGCCAGGCCGCGUGAGUGAUGAAGGUCUUAGGAUAGUAAAGCUCUUUCACCGGUGAAGAUAAUGACGGUAGCCGGAGAAGAAGCCCCGGCUAACUUCGUG
rnacentral:rRNA from 1 species